ensembl:misc_RNA 7SK 7SK RNA
GGUUGUGAGGGCAAUCUGGCUCUCACAGCUGCUACCACAUUGAUCACCAGGGUUGAUUCAGCUGAUCUGGCUGCCUAGGCAGGUGUCCUUGUUCUCCCUCUGCAAUCAUUUGCAUUCUUCCCAAAUCUGUGCCCCAGGUCAAAGAGGACAACCACUCCCAAUAGUGUAGAACCAUUUUUUGGGUCAAAGUUAUAUGAGUAGAUGUGCUUCCCUGCUAAAACACCCAGACAAGCUCUCAAAUAAAAUAUCUAGAAGUCUCCUUAAAUUGCAAGUUAAUUUCAACUGAGGAGUUUUGUU